rnacentral:RNase_P_RNA from 15 species
GUUCUCUCCGUCCACGGAGGCAGGUUUCUGCCUUCGCACAAAAUGCUCCUGAGAGCGUCCUGGCGCGAAAGCGCCGGGCAGGGCCAUCAGAAAUCAGUCGAGUUUACUUGGCAUGGGAGGCUCUGCGGACGGUUGGUCAUGUGUAUGAACAUGGCUAUUGAGUGCAAUAUGCGAACCUUGAAAAAGGCA